AUCUCAGGUUUCUCUUCGUUCACACAUAAAUCUUUCACCUUUUACUAAAGAUUUCUGUGGGGAGCAAUGUUGAUGAGUUCUACUUAUCAAUGAUGGGCUCCUUCACUUGCAUCAA